rnacentral:rRNA from 1 species
UACGAAGGGGGCUAGCGUUGCUCGGAAUCACUGGGCGUAAAGCGCACGUAGGCAGAUCUUUAAGUCAGGGGUGAAAUCCUGGAGCUCAACUCCAGAACUGCCUUUGAUACUGGGGAUCUCGAGUCCGGAAGAGGUGAGUGGAACUCCGAGUGUAGAGGUGAAAUUCGUAGAUAUUCGGAAGAACACCAGUGGCGAAGGCGGCUCACUGGUCCGGUACUGACGCUGAGGUGCGAAAGCGUGGGGAGCAAACAGG